rnacentral:rRNA from 1 species
CACAAGCGGUGGAUGAUGUGGAUUAAUCGAUGCAACGCGAAAACCUUACCUACCCUUGACAUGUCCGGAAUCCCGAAGAGAUUUGGGAGUGCUCGCAAGAGAACCGGAACACAGGUGCUGCAUGGCUGUCGUCAGCUCGUGUCGUGAGAUGUUGGGUUAAGUCCCGCAACGAGCGCAACCCUUGUCAUUAGUUGCCAUCAUUUGGUUGGGCACUCUAAUGAGACUGCCGGUGACAAACCGGAGGAAGGUGGGGAUGACGUCAAGUCCUCAUGGCCCUUAUGGGUAGGGCUUCACACGUCAUACAAUGGUCGGUACAGAGGGUUGCCAACCCGCGAGGGGGAGCUAAUCCCACAAAGCCGAUCGUAGUCCGGAUCGCAGUCUGCAACUCGACUGCGUGAAGUCGGAAUCGCUAGUAAUCGCAGGUCAGCAUACUGCGGUGAAUACGUUCCCGGGCCUU